CUGCUAAAUGCUAUCUCGCGCUUUGUCAUUUUUACGCUACGCCUAAAUCUACAUGAAGUUUGUUGUCUUUGUACAUAUCGAUUCAUCACAAAUAUAGUAGUCUGUAGUACCAGUAAAAAGAGAUUUCAAGUAGGCUACUAAUACUAAUGGGGAAGGAUUUUUGUGCUGUUUAUGGCUGUUCACAUGAAAGAGGGAGGAGAGGAGACUGUUUGUCUUUUUUUUCAUUUCCAAUUGAAGAACCAUUUCGGUCAUCAUGGAUAAGAGCCACGAGGAGAGGCACAGUAAAGCCAGGUUCGUCAUGGGUACCAAAUAAAUAUUCAAAAAUAUGUAGCUGCCAUUUUUCCAACCCACCAAUUGCCAGUAAACGAUUUAAAGGAUUUAAGUGCACGAUUCCAGACAUAAAUUUACCUUUGUCAACAGUAAAAAAUUCAAAACCCACGCCAAGAUCAAGGGAGUUUUUACCAUCUAUUAGUAUCAGACCUUCAUGUACAACUCCACCUUGCACAAAUACGUGUAGCAUUGACAAUAGUGACAGGGAGUGUGAUAUGAGCAGCACCGAACAGAGCCAGAUUAAUUGCAUGGUUAUUGGUAAUGACCAUGAUUACCUUAAAACAGUUCGCGGAGGGAGAGUUAGUGAUGCCGUUGACAAACUUGCUGAAGAGAUACCCGAAAUAUAUGAUCUUUUAGACGAUUAUAAAAUGUUGUUACCUAAUCAAAGUACAGACGAAAUUAAAUUAAAGAAACAGGUUUUGAGGUUCAACAACAUUAAAGACGACAAAAAGCUUUUAACAUAUUACACAGGAUUCCCCGAUAUUACUGUAUUUGAGUCACUUUUUGAAUAUUUAGAACACAUGAGUAUUGACAUGAAGUAUAAUUAUAAACCAGAAAGUGAACAUUUCGUAAACAAAAACAUAAAACUGGUAAUAAGAGGUUGCUGAGUGGAAAAGAUGAAUUUUUUUUAACACUUGCAAGACUAAAACUUGGUAUUCCUCUUCAGGACCUCGCCAUACGUAAUGGCAUUUCUCUUUCUACAGUCUCAGUAAUUUUUAACACAUGGGUAGCGCUUCUGUCCCAUUCUUUGGAAGCACUAUGCUCGAUGCCUUCUUAUGAAAAAUCGAAAGAAAACGCAGCAAAAUGUUUUAAUCCAUUUAAAUCUUUACAAAUCAUUAUAGACUGUACUGAACUUUUUUCGGAAACCCCUUCUAGCCUUGCUGCUCAUAAGCAAAUUUUUUCACCAUAUAAACAUCAUAUAGCACUUUCAAAUUUCUAGUUGGCAUUAGCCCAUCUGGAGCCGUCACGUAUAUUUCUGACAUGUUUGGAGGCCGAGCUUCCGAUAAAUUAAUAACGCAAUCAUCAACUGACUUUUUAGAUGGUCUAUUGCCUGGGACGUCUGUGAUGGCGGAUAGAGGUUUUACAAUCAGCGGAGACUUACCCCCAGGUGUUGAGUUAAUAAUACCACCAUUCAAAAAUAAAGACAGAUGGUCUAUUGCCUGGGACGUCUGUGAUGGCGGAUAGAGGCUUUACAAUCAGCGGAGACUUACCCCCAGGUGUUGAGUUAAUAAUACCACCAUUCAAAAAUAAAGACAGGUCACAGUUUUCAAAAUCAAUGGUAUUGAAAUCUAUGGAAAUUUCAGAGGCAAGAGUUCAUGUUGAACGAGCAAUAAGACGAAUAAAGCAGUUUGAACUCCUCUCAAAAGAAUGUAAACUAGCUAUGACAGAU